rnacentral:rRNA from 1 species
AUUGAACGCUGGCGGCAGGCCUAACACAUGCAAGUCGAACGGUAGCACAGAGAGCUUGCUCUCGGGUGACGAGUGGCGGACAGGUGAGUAACGUCUGGGAAACUGCCCGAUGGAGGGGGAUAACUACUGGAAACGGUAGCUAAUACCGCAUAACGUCGCAAGACCAAAGUGGGGGACCUUCGGGCCUCACACCAUCGGAUGUGCCCAGAUGGGAUUAGCUAGUAGGUGGGGUAAUGGCUCACCUAGGCGACGAUCCCUAGCUGGUCUGAGAGGACGACCAGCCACACUGGAACUGAGACACGGUCCAGACGCCUGCGGGAGGCAGCAGUGGGGAAUAUUGCACAAUGGGCGCAAGCCUGAUGCAGCCAUGCCGCGUGUAUGAAGAAGGCCUUCGGGUUGUAAAGUACUUUCAGCGGGGAGGAAGGCGGUGAAGUUAACAGCUUCACCGAUUGACGUUACCCGCAGAAGAAGCACCGGCUAACUCCGUGCCAGCCGCCGCCGUAA